CCUACGGGAGGCAGCAGUGAGGAAUAUUGGUCAAUGGUCGGGAGACUGAACCAGCCAAGCCGCGUGAGGGAGGAAGGUACAGAGUAUCGUAAACCUCUUUUGUCAGGGAACAAAGGCGGGGACGUGUCCCCGGAUGAGUGUACCUGAAGAAAAAGCAUCGGCUAACUCCGUGCCAGCAGCCGCGGUAAUACGGAGGAUGCGAGCGUGAUCCGGAUUUAUUGGGGUUAAGGGGUGCGCAGGCGGCCUGUUAAGUCAGCGGUAAAAGCCCGGGGCUCAACCCCGGCCCGCCGUUGAAACUGGCAGUCUCGAGUUGGAGAGAAGUAUGCGGAAUGCGCGGUGUAGCGGUGAAAUGCAUAGAUAUCGCGCAGAACUCCGAUUGCGAAGGCAGCAUGCCGGCUCCACACUGACGCUGAGGCACGAAAGCGUGGGUAUCGAACAGGAUUAGAUACCCUUGUAGUC
rnacentral:rRNA from 1 species